CGACGGCUAGCGAGGUGGUCAAGAAGGCGCCGAUGAUAAUGAGGGCGACAUCGUCGUCAAGGACGACAUCGUCAUCGAGGCCGAGGACAGUGACGAAGGCCAAGGACGAUGCCGUUCAAGGCGGCGAAAACAACCGGCAACGAGCACUUCUUUCUCGGGAGGGGAAUGUGUGGGAAUCGCGCGGAUUGCCACCC
rnacentral:lncRNA from 1 species